ACCUACGGGGGGCAGCAGUGGGGAAUAUUGGGCAAUGGGCGCAAGCCUGACCCAGCAACGCCGCGUGAGGGAAGAAGGCCUUCGGGUUGUAAACCUCUGUCCUUGGGGACGAAAAAAAUGACGGUACCCAAGGAGGAAGCUCCGGCUAACUACGUGCCAGCAGCCGCGGUAAUACGUAGGGAGCGAGCGUUGUCCGGAAUUACUGGGCGUAAAGGGUGCGUAGGCGGCAUGGCAAGUCAGAUGUGAAAUCCCCGGGCUUAACUCGGGUUCUGCAUUUGAAACUGCCGUGCUUGAGUGCAGGAGAGGAAAGCGGAAUUCCUAGUGUAGCGGUGAAAUGCGUAGAUAUUAGGAGGAACACCAGUGGCGAAGGCGGCUUUCUGGACUGUAACUGACGCUGAGGCACGAAAGCGUGGGGAGCAAACAGGAUUAGAUACCCUGGUAGG
rnacentral:rRNA from 1 species